UUCGCUUUGUUAGAAACUUUUUGAAAGUUGCGAAAAAGAGACGAAGUUUGAAGAUGAAUAAAGAAAAGUGAACGAUGACUUUUUUCAAAAACGUACGUACGUUAGUGUACGAAUAACAUUACAAAAAUGUGAUCGUCAUGUGUGUCAACUCUGGUGUCGCAGUCCUGCAUGCUCUCCAACAGUCCAACUCUCUAUGCUGUUUGGCGGAUUUGUGGCCUGAUGUCAUCGUAACAACAAAUUAUGCAACUUGUGCUUGUGCUGCUGGUAUGGACCUGUCAUCGGCAACAAUCUCACCAUCAUCACUUGGGUAAACAGCAUCAUCCAGUUUGAAUGGGGAAACUCUGUUCUCGUGUAUGCCCAUGUGAGUGUGGGUGUAUUCACGAGGACAUCCUUUUUCCGUCCUUCAACUUUUCUGCGGAUGACGCACUUGUGGAUGUGGAUGCCUGGCCGUUUUUCCCAGGCUUAAAGGUAGGCCAAAUUUAUCUCUAUUCUUCAUUUUUUUUCGACUAUUUGGGGGAUUUGACUAUAAAUCGUUUCAUAUAGUCAAGAGUAUUAUUAUUCCUGAGCUUAGGCGAAUUGACUGCGACUGUUUUCU
rnacentral:lncRNA from 1 species